AUUUUAUUAGUAUUUUUAUUGUUUAUUUUACAUAUUUUAUAUUAUAAAAUUUUGAUAAAAACGAUUUUUCAGAUACUAAAAAGGAAUAUCAAAAAUGCCAAGUCGUUAUUCAGAAGCUAAACGUACAAACCAAGACAAAACGCCAACAGAAACGAAAACCGUUAUUUACUAUUAAUUCUAAUAACACAAAUAUUCCAGCCAAAUCGAUUAAAUAUUAAUAAUAAUUACAAAAAAAACAGGAAAAUUAAAAA
rnacentral:lncRNA from 13 species